GGGCACUCUGUCAAAUCAUACACGGGUGCUGUGAGUCCACAGUGGGGCCGACUCUCCAACCUGGGUUGGCCUUAAGGACCAGUUCAAGCAGAGGGUCCAUGUGUCCAGCAUGUUGUCUCUGAGGAUUGAGAACCUGGCCCCUGAAGACAGUGGGCAGUACAUGGCCAUGAUCUACUUAACUGGGGGACAAUUAUCUGGCCAGGUUUUCUACCUCACUGUCUAUGGCUGGAAGACCGGAACACAGUGGCAUAAACACAGCACAUUGCAGCUUCAACUUUCUGGCUCAAGCGAUCAUACCACCUCUGCCCCCACAAGUAGCUGGGAUUACAGAGCCUGUGCCUCAUCCUGAGAUCCUGGCCAAUUCGCUGUCUAUCACACCAGGCUUGCGUAACAUCACCCUGGAGUGUACGGCUCCAGGAACCACAGAGGACCUGAAUGUGACUUAGGAGAGCAAGGGCCUCCUCGGAGAGCUGGAGCAGAGAGAAACACCAGGACCAGCCCCCGACUCCUGGACCCUGGCUGUGAACCUGCCCCUGAGCCAGAGGAACAGCAGUCUCACCUGUGUGGUCAGCAACCAGGUGGAUCAGAGAGAUGUAACCUUACCUUGGGGAAGCCUGUGUCAAGGUGAGGGGUGAGUGUAGCCUGCAGGAUAGGAGGGGCUUCCUGAGCUCAGGCAGCACUGGGGUUUAAUGGUUCUGGGCUCUAUUCUCCACCAUGUGCAUUAGCACCACCUUCCCCCUGCUCACCACACAUAGCAGUGUGGGAGUCACAUCCACCUUGCUUCUGCCCUUAACCAUCUCUCCCACCGAUGCCCUCCUCCCCACAACCCCACCAUGUCCUUGUUGGGAAAGACAGCAGGCUUCCAGGAGCUCUCCCACCCCAUCCAUCCUCCACUGGGCAUCCAGAAUGGGCUUUGGGAAAAGCAGGACGGCUUGUGCCAUUGUCUGUGUCAUCUGUGAGAACCUGAUUCCAGCCACUCUCUGUAUGAUUCAGAGCUUAGAUGCACCUCUGUCCACGUUGCUAGUCUCAUCUGCUCUCUUCACAACAAACUGCUUGCCAUAGUUCCUUGAAUGCGUCCUGCCAUUGUAAGCUUCUGAGCGUCUGCACAUGCUGGCUUUUCUGUAUCAGCAAGUCCUAUGUCCUUCACUUCUUCUUCAUGGGGUGAAGACCAUGUAAAGGCUGCAUGUGUGGUUUACAAUUUUCUUAAUAAGUUUGAACAAGGGCUUCCUAUUUUCAUUCUGCAUAGGGCCUUUUCAGUUAUGUAUCUGGUCCUGCAAGUAGGCAGCGAUCCUUUAGGGAAUGUCCAUGGCACCCCACACUGAGUAGUAGUGGUGGGGUUAUGUCUUUGCUCUGUAGACUGCGAUGUCCUUAGGCAGAUGCCACCAUCAUGUUUUCCUUUGAAUCCCUGUGCCAAGUACAGCUUCUGGCAAAGUUUGCUCACAACUGGUGUUCAUUGGAUGAAUGAAUGACUUGGUACCCUGGUGCAGCCACAGCCUCUCUAACCUUUCCUCCAGGAGCUGCUGGAGAACUCUGAUGUGUCAGCAUCCCUUUAAACCACCCGUUACCUUCUCCCCUGUCCUCCAUCCUGGAGUGUUCAGCACUUAGCAUGACCACAAGGCCCUCUGGGCACAGACUCCUGCCUCCCUCUGACUCUCCUUGCCAUGGCUCCUCCCUGCCCUGUUCCUUUCCUGCUGCAGUGGGGUGCGGGCAACUCCCAGGGCUGGUGUUUUGACAUGGCAGUUUCCUAAAUGUGGUGCUCCUCCUUCCUGGAAUGCCCCACCCUGAAGAUC